rnacentral:sRNA from 1 species
UAGGAUAUUCUUUGAUCAAAAGCAACUGUCAAUGCCCCCCUAUGGGUUUCGUUGGGGAAACAUUCACUUUUUUGGUAGUAGUCGUGUGAGACAGACCUAUUUAUUUCUUGAAAAAUAUGUCUAUUCAAAAUUUUUAGAACAAAAUUGAGGUGGAAACAUUAUUUAAUCUAAUAUUCAAGGAACGCCCUUAGAGAUAUAAUAAAAACCGUUCCCGUAGGAGACAGACUAACAUGAACGAAAGCGUCGUGCGACGCGACCCCGCCUGAAGGAAGCUGACCACGAUUAUGCCGCAGCGAGUGGCGAGUCCGGGCGACGACAGAGUCAGCGAGAGCGUACAGUCGCUGCCACGGUAGUCGGUCGUCGCCUGGUUGGGCGUGUUCUGAACGCCACCAUCGUGAUGGGAGCGAUCGGGCGGCGUGUUAAGGCGAGGUCCGUCAGCAGCACGGGAUGGGCUUCGGUCGGGGUGUGCAACUUGCUGUCCAGCGGUAGCUCGACGAAGUGUUGUUGAUGUGGAGAGUGUGCGACAUCUGAAAGUGGUUGCUCCGUGG